rnacentral:tRNA from 1 species
GGAGGGGUGGCAGAGCGGUUGAUUGCGCCGGUCUUGAAAACCGGAAGGCCCUAAGGCCUCGUGAGUUCGAAUCUCACCCCCUCCGCCA